GUUAAUGUACAUUUAAAGCACCUCGUCAGCAGUAUGAAAUUGUCCAGCAAUUUCUAUUACAGUCCUCUUGGAAAUGGCUGGCGUGCGGCCAGUAAAGACACGAUUACAGUCCUCUGUAAUGAAAUCCUUUCUUCAGUUAAAAGUAUAUCCGAGCAAGUGAGAGAAAACAA